AGGCUCGCUUCGGCGGGUCGAUC
rnacentral:snRNA from 1 species